rnacentral:rRNA from 1 species
UACGUAGGGUGCAAGCGUUAAUCGGAAUUACUGGGCGUAAAGCGUGCGCAGGCGGUUAUGUAAGACAGAUGUGAAAUCCCCGGGCUCAACCUGGGAACUGCAUUUGUGACUGCAUAGCUAGAGUACGGUAGAGAGGGAUGGAAUUCCGCGUGUAGCAGUGAAAUGCGUAGAUAUGCGGAGGAACACCGAUGGCGAAGGCAAUCCCCUGGACCUGUACUGACGCUCAUGCACGAAAGCGUGGGGAGCAAACAGG